rnacentral:lncRNA from 1 species
GUCCAGAGAUCCUCUGUCUUACCAUCUCUAGAAAAUAGUUCUCAGGGCUUCUGCAAGGUGAGAGAGGGCAGUUGCCUGGCUGAGCACAGAAAAGGGGAAUAUAAGAACUUGAUUCCUUUUUAUUGCCAGAUAAUACUCCACUGUACAUAUAUAGCACAUUUUGUUUACCCAGUCAUCAUUUGCUGGUCAUCUGGGUUGUUUCCAUUUUUUUUUUUGGUUAUUAUGAAUAAUGCUAUUAUGAACAUUCCUGUUUAAAUAUGUGGACAUAGGUUUUUACUUACAUUUUUUUUCAUUUUUAAAAGUUUUAUUAACCAAUAGUCGAUUUACAAUGUCGUGAUAAUUUCUGCCAUACAACAGAGUGAUUCAGUUAUGCCUGUACACACACAUGCAUUCUUUUUCAGAUUCUUUUCCCAUAUAGAUGAGUCACAGAAAGUUUUUAUUUUUCUUGGUACAUACCUGGGCGGGGGGAUGCUGGACUACAUGGCAACUCUAUGUUUAACUUUUUGAAGAACUGCCAAACUGUUUUCCAAAGUGUCUGCACCAUUUUACAUUCUUACCAACCAUGUAUGAGAGUUCAGAGCUAUCCACAUAUUUGUCAUUAUUAUUGUUAUUGUCUUUUUUAUUUUAGUCAUACUAGUAGGUAUAAAGUAGUAUUUCAUUGUGGUUUUGAUUUAUAUUUCCUUGAUGACUAGUAAUUUUGAGCAUCUCUUCAUGAACUUAUUGACCAUUUGGAUAUCUUCUUUGAAGAAAUGUCCACAUCCUUUGUCCAUUUUACAAUUGAGUGAUUCAUCUUUUUGUUGAGUUUUAUUUUUUUAUUUUUAUUUUAUUUUAUUUUAUUUUUUUUGUCUUUUUAGAGCCACAUCUGCAGUGUAUGGAAGUUCCCAGGCUAGGGGUAUAAUCAGAGCUAUAGCUCCUGGCCUAUGCCACAGCCAUAGCAAUGUGGGAUCCGAGACGUAUCUGUGACCUACACCACAACUCAUGGCAACACCGGAUGCUUAACCCACUGAGUGAAGCCAGGGAUCAAACCCGCAUCCUCAUUGAUACUAGCUGGGUUCAUUUCCACUGAGCCACGACAGUUUAGUUUGAAGAGUUUUUUGUCUUUUCUGGACAUGAGUCCCUUACUUGAUGUAUGAUUUGCAGAUAUUUUCUCCUAUUCUAUGGGUUGUCUUUUCAAGUUCUUGGCAAUAUCCUUUAAAGCACUGAAGUUUUAAAUUCUGAUGAAAUCUGUUUUACCAAUUUUUUCUUUUGUCACUUGUGCCUUUGGUAUCAUAUCUAAGAAAUUUGGAUAGUACAAGGUGACAAAAAUUUACAUCUAUGUUUUCUAAGAGUUUAUAGUUUUAGCUCUUACAUUUAGGUCUUUGAUCCAUUUUGAGUUAAUUUUUGUAUAUAGUGUGAUGUAGAGGGUCCAACUUUAUUAUUUUGCACAUGGAUGUCCAGUUGUCCCAGCACCAUUUACUGGAAGGAGUGUUACCCCAUUAAAUUGUCAUGAUACAGUGAUUAAAAAUCAGUGUAAUGGUCUGUUUACUCUCAGUAUUAUUCCAUUGAUCUAUGUGUCUAUCUUUAUGCCAGUACUACAGUAUCUUGAUUAUUCUAGUUUUGAGGUAAGUUUUCAAAUGGGGAGUAAAGUAUGAAUUCUUCAGUCUUGCUCUUCUUUUUCAAGAUUAUUUUAGUUGCUCCACAUGUUUUGUAUUCUCAUAUGAAUUUUAGGAUAAGAGUGUCAAUUUCUAUAAAGAUGUCAGUUGAGAUUUUUUUUUUUAGGGCUGCACCUGUAGCAUAUGGAAGUUCCCAGGCUAGGGGUCAGUUUGGAGCUAUAGCUGCUGGCCUACAUCACAGCAGCAGCAACGCCAGAUCCGAACCACGUCUGCGACCCACACCUCAGCUCACGAUAAGGCCAGAUCCUUAACCCACUGAGCAAGGCCAGGGAUUGAACCUGCAGCCUCAUGGCUCCUAGUUCAGAUUCGUUUCCGCUGCACCACAACGGGAACUCCCGGGUUUGUUUUUUCUUUUAAUCAAAAGAAGUGUUUGCGAGUCCCUGGUGGCCCUAGUGGUUAAGAAUCUGUUGUCACUGCUGUGGCUCAGUUUUGAUCCCUGGCCUGGGAACUUCCAUGUGCUGUGGGCAAGGCCAAUAAAUAAAUAAAUAAAACGUGCGCGUGCACAUGCGCGCGCGCACGCGCGCGCACACACACACACACACACACAAAGAAGUGUUGGAUUUUGUUAGUUUUUUUUUCCUAAAUUUGAGAUGACCAUGUAUUUUUAUUUCUUUUAUUCUAUUAAUAUAGUGUAUUAUAUUGAUUAAUUUUCAGAUGUUAAACCAACUUUAUAUGCCUAGGAUAAAUCUAAUGUGGUCAUGGUAUAUAAUGCUGUUUGUAUGUUACUAGACUUGGUUUACAGUAUUUUUUUUGAAUACUGGUAUGUAGUUUUCCUUUUUAUUUUGAUGUUUUUGUUUGGUAUUAGUAUCAGGAUAAUACUAACCUUUUAGAAUGAUUUGAGAAUUUUUGCUUAUGCUUCUUUAAAAGAGUCUGAAGGAUUGGUAUUAAUUCUCCUUCAAAAAUUUAGUAGAAUACAUCUAGGCCUAUGUUUUUCUUUGUGGGCAGUUUUUAAAUUGCUAAUUUAAUGUCAUAUUGUUGUUAGGACUCAUUAUCAGUGAAUAUUCAUCUUGUAAAAAUACCUAUUGAUAUUUGAUUAUUCAGCCACCUUUCUUCUGUAUAAUAUCUGAAUAGAAAGAGAUUUUGAUAUACCUACGUAAACCUUUUUUCUUCUGUUAAAGGUCUAUAAUUACUCUGGAAUCAGCAAGCCAUGGCAUCAAAGAAAUUUGCUGUUAAAGUAAGUAAUGCUUAAUAAUCUUUUUUAAAAUGGUUAAUCACUUUCUAAUAUAACUGAGUGGUAUGUUAAUUAAAAAUUGAAGCCCUGAACUUUUCUACUCUUUAAGAAACUCUUUACUUAAAGUAGGUGAUUGAAAAUUUGCAUAUUAAUGUAGUUCCUGUCGUGGUGUAGCGGAAAGGAAUCGGACCAGGAACCAUGAGGUUCAAUCCCUGGCCUCGCUCGUUGGGUCAAGGAUCUGGCAUUGCCGUGAGCUGUGGUGUAGGUUGCAGACAUGGCUCGGUCUGGUGUUGCUGUGGCGUAGGCCGGCGGCUACAGCUCUGAUUAGACCCCUAGUCUGGGAACAUCCAUCUGCCGAGGGUGUGGCCCUUAAAAAAAAAAAAGAAAAAAAAA